UAACACGUACUCCAUGAGUGGUGUCCACUUAUACUGGGCUUAAAACGCCCGUAGCCUGCCUGAAAAGUCCUUGGUGAAAUCAAUUCGCUUAACGGAUUGGCUUGCCAGGGAUACUGCUAGGCUCGAGGCCGGGAGAGGUCAGGGGAAUUUCUGGGGUAGCGGUGAAAUGCUAAGAUCCCGGAAAGACCUCCAGUAGCGAAGGCGCCUGACCAGAACGGACCUGACGGUGAGGGACGAAAGCCAGGGGAGCGACCCGGAUUAGAUACCCGGUUAGUCCUGGCCGUAAACGAUGCGGACUAGGUGUUCCCGUCUCAUUGAUACGGGAGUGCCGAAGGGAAACCGCUAAGUCCGCUGCCUGGGAAGUAUGGUCGCAAGGCCG
rnacentral:rRNA from 1 species